rnacentral:rRNA from 1 species
UACGAAGGGGGCUAGCGUUGCUCGGAAUCACUGGGCGUAAAGGGUGCGUAGGCGGGUCUUUAAGUCAGGGGUGAAAUCCUGGAGCUCAACUCCAGAACUGCCUUUGAUGCUGAAGAUCUUGAGUUCGGGAGAGGUGAGUGGAACUGCGAGUGUAGAGGUGAAAUUCGUAGAUAUUAGGAAGAACACCAGUGGCGAAGGCGGCUCACUGGCCCGGUAUGACGCUGAGGUGCGAAAGCGUGGGGAG